rnacentral:rRNA from 1 species
CGUAAAGCGCAUGCAGGCGGUCUGUUAAGCAAGAUGUGAAAGACCCGGGCUUAACCUGGGAACCGCAUUUUGAACUGGCAGGCUAGAGUCUUGUAGAGGGGGGUAGGAAUUUCAGGUGUAGCGGUGAAAUAGCGUAGAGAUCUGAAGGAAUACCGGUGGCGAAGGCGGCCCCCUGGACAAAGACUGACGCUCAGAUGCGAAAGCGUGGGGAGCAAACAGGAUUAGAUACCCUGGUAG